CAGGUUGCCUUUAAACCAGUGAUGGCUAACCUCCGGAACUCCAGCUGUGGUGAAACUACGACUCCCAGCAUGCUCAAUUAAUUUCUAUGAAGUUCUGAGAAAAGCCAAGCAAGUGUGCAUCUUGGGAGUUGUAGUUUUACCGCAGCUGCAGUACUGGAGGUUAGCCAUCA